GGAAAGCGCUCACUGCGAGCAGCUGAAAGGACGACACAAACCAAAGCACCACACAUGAAUGUUGCUCACUGGCACAUAGCAGGAAGGCACUGAUGGAGAGCUGCCACCUCUUGGAUCUGGGACACAGGAGCUGCUCAGAGAAAACCCUCUCAGGGCUGCUCAGAUGGGCAGCCCACCUGAACACCCCUGCUACAUUCUGAGGUUCAGCAUUUAACAACCCAAAGAGGAGCGACAAAACCCCAUGUGGCUCUCCGGGGCCAGCACAGGGAGGGGACUGCAGAGAGAUGCCGACUCACAGAGCAGAAGCUUGGAACACACUCCACAGCCAAGUGCUAAGCCUGAGUCAUGCUAGGAUUUGGGCAGUCUGGGUCCUGCCAUGAGCACUCAACACACUAAGUGCUCGAGCUUCCAGGCUGCUCUGGGGCCUUCCCUGGUGGGCACAGCAGCACAAAUCCUUGUUUGAUCCAGGAGGGCACCAGCUCUGCAGCACACACAGUUUUAGGUCAGAUACAAAGCUUGACUGAUUCUAUUGACACUCACCGGAGGCUGGAGCAAAUGCUGCUAAGUCAGAUUAAACACCAGCCUUCUGCCAUUCCUCCCUGCAGCACCACUGCACCAAGGCAGGAGGGAACCCCAGCCAAGCACCCACCUUGGCGGAGCACAGCCACAGAGUGUGCUCAGGGCUCUCAGCCCCGCAGCAGACACGCAGCCCCACAGUCCCCCACCCUUCCCCAGGCACCACACUGCUGUGGAGCUCCUCCAAAGCCCGUGAGCUGCUGGGUGCUUCGCAGGCUCCAGAGUAGGAAAGCACAGCUCUUCUUCAAACAAGCGUUAUGAGGAAGAAA
ensembl:lncRNA